GAGAGCGACAGGGUUAGGUCGGUGGGAGAGAGAGACAGAGAGCGACAGGGUUAGGUCGGUGGGAGAGAGACAGAGAGCGACAGGGUUAGGUCGGUGGGAGAGAGAGACAGAGAGCGACAGGGUUAGGUCGGUGGGAGAGAGAGACAGAGAGCGACAGGGUUAGGUCGGUGGGAGAGAGAGACAGAGAGCGACAGGCUUAGGUCGGUGGGAGAGAGAGACAGAGAGCGACAGGGUUAGGUCGGUGGGAGAGCGACAGGGUUAGGUCGGUGGGAGAGAGAGACAGAGAGCGACAGGGUUAGAUCGGUGGGAGAGAGAGACAGAGAGCGACAGGGUUAGGUCGGUGGGAGAGAGAGACAGAGAGCGACAGGGUUAGGUCGGUGGGAGAGAGAGACAGAGAGCGAUAGGGUUAGGUCGGUGGGAGAGAGACAGGGUUAGGUCGGUGGGAGAGAGCGACAGGGUUAGGUCGGUGGGAGAGAGCGACAGGGUUAGGUCGGUGGGAG